GGGCCCGCACAAGCGGUGGAGCAUGUGGUUUAAUUCGAUGAUACGCGAGGAACCUUACCAGGGCUUAAAUGUAAGUUGCAUAGAUCAGAGAUGGUCUUUUCUUCGGACUACUUACAAGGUGCUGCAUGGUUGUCGUCAGCUCGUGCCGUGAGGUGUCAGGUUAAGUCCUAUAACGAGCGCAACCCCUGUCGUUAGUUGCCAGCAAGUUAAGUUGGGCACUCUAGCGAGACUGCCGGUGCAAACCGCAGGAAGUGGGGAUGACGUCAAAUCAUCAGGCCCCUUACGUCCUGGGCUACACACGUGCUACAAUGGCCGGUACAGAGAGCAGCCACUACGCGAGUAGGAG
rnacentral:rRNA from 1 species